CUUUAAAGUAUGUCUAUUUAAUUAUUUUAUAAAAGAAUAACUUAAGUAGAUUCUCCUUGAGGCUCCUGGUUUUGGUCAAGCUGACCACCUGCUAUUGUCCAAAAGUAUGAGACAUUACCUACUUCUCACACUACGUUGUUAUUGCCAUUUUGCUGUUUCAUGCUUUCCACCACCACUUCAUAAGCCAGUUUAUAGCAAUCGCUGGGUUCUACUUUUCUAUUGCCUUUGUCAAGCGCAGAGCCUAUAUAUACAUAGUAAGUACGAAACACAUGACAGAUGAAUAAAUUGGAUGGGCUGUUAGGAGAAAAAUCAGCUUGCUUGACCACUAAUUUCAGUUAUGCGGCAUAUAUCAAAGAAACACAGGUUUAAAAUCAGAAAAAAAUGAGUUGUGGCCCAGGCAAGAAUCUUAACUUGCCCUUAUUUCAAUUUACUCCUCUGUAAAUAAAAGUGUACUAAAUAAUUUCUAAUGUCAAAAGAAUUCUUAGAGAUGGAUUACUUUCAUUUGUCAUCAUAAGUGACAAUGAAGUGGUGUAGCGGUUUCUAAUCAGUUAAAUUAUUAUGUAUUGAGUUUUUAAUACAUAUUUGUCACAGUAUACAGGGAGGCCUGGUGUGCUGUGGUUCAUGGAGUCACAAAGAGCUGGACACGACUGAGCGCCUGAACUGAACUGACAAUGUUCAAAGCACUUAAAAAGAAUUCAGAGCCAACUUGACACAUUAAUGCUAAAAUUUUUAAAAAUGCUACAACCGUGACAAAACCUAUUGGCAGAGACCACAGGUUUAUAUGUCAAUGUGUAUAGGAAAAAGAAGCACCAACUCAGGAUGGUUUGGAAGACUAGUGCCUUAAGAAAGGGAUUUUACAAUUUAAGGGAUGAGGACCAGCAAAGGGUAACAGAAUUUUAGGACUGUAUGGGUCCUUGGAGUCACCUAUCUCUUUUGAUUUAGAAUAAAUUCAAUUGCUGUUUCACAAACUGUAGUCACAUCAAAGCAUCUGUAGAGUCUUGCUUGGAAUUCAGGACUCCUAAUCUGGAAUUCUUUGGACCACAACACCUCAUCUCCUAUAUAAAAGACCGAUCUCCUAUAUUAAAGCCAGUAGUGACAAAGCACACUCAAAACCCAAGGUAGAAAGAAAAGUGUAGCGAAGGCAAAGUUCUGAGGAGCAGAUGUAGAUACAAAACUCUAGCUAAAUAUUCAGGACAAAAUGCAGACAUAUUUCAAAUGCUACAUGAAAUAAACACCUGCUUUUAUUGAGUCCUUUCUAGCAUCACUUUCUUUUGCCAACCGAACUCCAAUUUUCCUCAGUGAAUUCUAUCUUCCUGACUCUUAGCUGUUAUAGCUUAAAUAGAGUAACCUUGUUGCUAGUAUGUAUAUUUCUAAGUUUAUUGUCCUAGAGUUUUACAAAUUUCAAAGUGGAUUAAGGAGUUUUAUCCUAUUUUAACACUAGAAGUUCUCAGAUCUGACCUAAUGAAGAUUAUCAUUCAUUUUAUAGUUGCAUAUUUAUGCUGCUUUUCAGCUAAAUAUUUAUUGAAGCCUUUUUUCUACCUCUGACCUUGUGAAUCUUUGCCUUACCUGCUAAGAUCAGCUUUACUGUAUUUAAAUCUCAUCUGCAACUCUCGUGAAUGCAUAGUUGCCAUCCCAGGCUUCUGCUACAUCCUUACGGCCUACACUCCAUGGUAACAUAUGAUUUUUCCAUCAGUGUUUCCAUGCAGUGACAACUGUAUGGUCUUCCUCAUUGUCCAGUGUGAUUCUUGAAUACCAAUUCUCUAUUUUAGGGAAGAAUUCUGGCUCUGCAGACAGACACCUGCUUUUGACUGUUGGGUGCACCACAGGUUAGCUAUAUGACCUGGGAAACUACUGAACACCUUUGAGCAUAAUUUUCUUCAUUUUCAAAAUAUAUAAUUUAUAUCUACCUCAUAUGACUAUUGUCGGUAAAGACUAGUAUAGCCAAUUUAUGUAAUUAGCAGAGUUCAUGGCACUUGGUAAACACUACAAAUAUUAGACACUAUUGUUAUCACUAUUAUUCUUAUUCCAAAGUAGUCACUCUGAGUGCUCUUUUCAAUAUAUUUGUUCCACUUUUAAGUCAUUAAAUUUAACAAUUUAACAUAACUCUUAAGCAUGUUAGAUAGCUAGAUUGAUUGAUGUCAGUGUGUCUAUUUCUACCACUAGAUUUUAUUGUCAGGCUUAAGAACUGAGAGCUUCUACAGCUUAUUAACUUCAGCUCUGAUAGCAUAUGACCUAGUACUCAGAAAGGAGAAAGAGAAGAUAGGAAGAGACAUUAAGAAAUCACCUCAUACAUACACAUAUGUAUAUGCAUAUAUAUUUUUCCUCAUAUAAUCAAAAUGUCCAGGAAGUAUCCAAAUUCUUUAUUUCAUUAAACUACAAUGUGUCCAAUACUUCUUUAAUGAAUGUUUCAUUUGGUGCCUUUUAAAAAAUUGUGUCAAAACAGAGAUAUUGCUUGGUUAUAUACUUUGUGUGAACAUUUUAUUCAUUCAACAUAGAAUUAUUGACCACCAACUGUAGGGUAAGCUAUAUGCCAGAUCCUGAACAUGUGAAUAUAGAUAAAAUAAGACUAUGCCAAAGCCUUUGACUGUGUGGAUCACAAUAAACUGUGGAAAAUUCUUAAAGAGAUGGGAAUACCAGACCACCUGACCUGCCUCUUGAGAAAUCUGUAUGCAGGUCAGGAAGCAACAGUUAGAACUGGACAUGGAACAACAGACUGGUUCCAAAUAGGAAAAGGAGUACGUCAAGG
ensembl:lncRNA